UACGUAGGGUGCAAGCGUUGUCCGGAAUUAUUGGGCGUAAAGAGCUCGUAGGCGGUUUGUCGCGUCUGCUGUGAAAACUCAAGGCUCAACCUUGAGCUUGCAUCGGGUACGGGCAGACUAGAGUGCGGUAGGGGUGACUGGAAUUCCUGGUGUAGCGGUGGAAUGCGCAGAUAUCAGGAGGAACACCGAUGGCGAAGGCAGGUCACUGGGCCGCAACUGACGCUGAGGAGCGAAAGCAUGGGGAGCGAACAGG
rnacentral:rRNA from 1 species